CGGAGUAUAGCUCAGAUGGCUAGAGCGCAUCGAUGGGGUCGAUGAGGCCGGGAGUUCAAGUCUCCCUACUCCGA
rnacentral:tRNA from 1 species